GAAAAUGUUAUCUGGCAUAAGUCAGCGUCAUGAUGUUCCAGGUUUGUACAUGCUUUUAGUCCUAACUAGUCAUAAUGGAUUUUCUCUAACGCUGUUGUUCUCAUCUGCUGUUAUUGACCAUAAAUUGUUUUCUUCAUCAUGAUUUUAUAUACUUUUUAAUCAGAAUUUUGAGUUUCGACUUCCUUUUGGUUUCAAUCUCUUACAUUCCUCCUUUUAUUUUAAUCCAUCUCUCAUCUAAUUAUCUCUGACUUUACUUUUUCUUCGCACGUCUGAAAUGCUCCUCCUCAUACGUGAAGAUGAGAAUAAUGUGCUGCUUGCCGUCACCGACGAAGGUAAUGACGACCCAAACCUUUUUUCCCCCUGUUGCUUUCUUUUGUCCCCAAUUGCUAUUUUUUAAGCCUUUUUACGUUGUCCAUAUGGUUAUGCUAAAAGUUAUAUCAUUUUAUUGAUUUGCUUUCUACUCUCACUUGAAACCUAAUUUCUUAAUUGUUGCAAAGGGUAAAAGGAAACGGGAAGAUAGAGCAUGGUCGAGAUUUCCCAAAAAUGAUAAGAGAUAGAAUUUGUUAUCGAAUAAUCAGGUGAGUAUAUCCAAACAAAACCAUUCAUUCUCUUUAAUUGAAUAUUUUCUAAUGUUGUCUCCUAAUUAAUAUUCACCUUUUUUUAAUUAUGAAUUUGGGGAUCUUUGAUUUUGUUUUUAUGAAAUAUAGUGACUAAACCCGUUCCUGGGAGUCAAGGAGAGCAUGGUGUUAUUGGAUCAGCAAGAAGAAUUCCUUUAAAUGAUAUUGCUAACGGUAAUGAAUCAAUUUAAAUGCAAUUUUGUAUAGUAGUGUAAUCAUUAUUAAUUGAAACACACUUCUGCAACUGCUAUUUCAACCUGUUGUAGUGAUUUUGGACGUACCUUUUUUUUUUGCAGCAUGAAGUGUGUUGGUUGUGUCUGUUUUAUAGCAAUUGUGCUUUGAACCAAAUAUGCCCUGUUUUUGCAGCAUCGUUAUUUUUCACUAUCAGAAUAUAAUUAUUAGCCUUCUAUGGAAGAAAUUGAGUUAGAGUUUUUGAAUUUGAUUUUGUAUAUCUGCAG
rnacentral:lncRNA from 1 species